rnacentral:rRNA from 1 species
UUGCCAGACUCCUACGGGAGGCAGCAGUGGGGAAUAUUGGGCAAUGGAGGCAACUCUGACCCAGCAACGCCGCGUGAGCGAUGAAGGUCUUCGGGUUGUAAAGCUCUUUAAGCGGGGACGAAGAAAGUGACUGUACCCGCAGAAUAAGCCUCGGCUAACUACGUGCCAGCAGCCGCGGUAAUACGUAGGAGGCAAGCGUUAUCCGGAAUGACUGGGCGUAAAGGGUGCGUAGGUGGUUUGGCAAGUUGGUAGCGUAAUCCCGGGGCUCAACCUCGGUGCUACUACCAAAACUGUUGAACUUGAGUGCAGGAGGGGUGAAUGGAAUUCCCAGUGUAGCGGUGGAAUGCGUAGAUAUUGGGAAGAACACCAGCGGCGAAGGCGAUUCACUGGACUGUAACUGACACUGAGGCACGAAAGCGUGGGGAGCAAACAGGAUUAGAUCCCCCGGUA